rnacentral:rRNA from 1 species
CAUGUCCUUUUGAUUAUAAUUUAAGGUCUGGUCUGCUCAAUGAAAAUUUAAAUUGCCGCGGUAUUUUGACCGUGCAAAGGUAGCAUAAUAAUUAGUUUUUUUAUUGAAAGCUGGAAUGAAUGAUUGGACGAGAAAAUGACUGUCUCUUUAAAAAUUUUUGUUUAAUUUAACUUUUAAGUAAGAAGGCUUAAAUAUUUAUUAAAGACGAGAAGACCCUAUAGAGUUUUAUAUUUAUUUAGUAAUAAUUUAUUUGGAAUUUUUUAUUUUUUUAUUUUUAUUAAUAUUUGGUUGGGGUGACUAAAAGAUUUAUUAAACUCUUUUAAUUUUAUUAUCAUUGAUUUGUGAAUUGUUUAUCUAUAUUUUUUAAAUUUAAGAUAAAUUACCUUAGGGAUAACAGCGUAAUUUCUUUUUAGAGUUCUUAUCAAUAAAGAAGUUUGCGACCUCGAUGUUGGAUUAAAAUUUAUUUUUGGUGCAAAAGCUUAAAUAUUAAGUCUGUUCGACUUUUAAAAUUUUACAUGAUCUGAGU